rnacentral:ncRNA from 3 species
GCCUGCCUGGGCGUCACGC